rnacentral:rRNA from 1 species
AUACGGAGGGUGCAAGCGUUACUCGGAAUCACUGGGCGUAAAGCGCGCGCAGGCGGGCUAAUAAGUUGGAUGUGAAAGCCUACGGCUCAACCGUAGAACUGCAUCCAAAACUGUCAGUCUAGAGUGUGGGAGAGGAAGAUGGAAUUAGUUGUGUAGGGGUAAAAUCCGUAGAGAUAACUAGGAAUACCAAAAGCGAAGGCAAUCUUCUGGAACACUACUGACGCUGAGGCGCGAAGGCGUGGGGAGCAAACAGGAUUAGAAACCCCAGUAGUCC